UUUUCACGUGAAGUUGGAGGAGUAAACUAGAAAAUAAAAAUAAAAAACAAGCACCUCCCAAAUUAGGCCCUCCUCGGACCUUGUCCUUUGUCGGCUCGAAUUUGUCAUCAAAUUAUACCGUGAAACCCUAAUUUAUAGCAGCCAACAUAUAAACGACGAAGAAUCACAUCCAAUUGAUUUAAAAGUCUUUCAAUUGAUUGCAGUUAGCCCCAAGUUUUUGCAAAAUUUAUCAGCCAUGGACGCUCAGAGAGCUUUGUUGGAUGAACUAAUGGGCUCAGCUCGGAAUUUAACUGAAGACGAGAGGAGAGGGUUCAAGGAAGUCAAAUGGGACGAUAAGGAAGUAUGUGCAUAUUAUAUGGUUCGAUUUUGCCCCCACGAUCUGUUCGUCAAUACUCGAAGUGAUUUGGGACCCUGCACUAAAAUUCAUGAAGCAAAGUUGAAGGAAAGUUUUGAGAAAUCUCCAAGACACGAUUCUUAUGUUCCCAAGUUUGAAGCAGAACUAGCCCAUUUCUGUGAGAAGUUGGUGAUGGACUUGGAUAAGAAAGUGAGGCGCGGUCGAGAACGCCUUGCUCAGGAGGUUGAAGUUCCCCCACCUCCUCCAAUAUCAGCAGAAAAAUCUGAGCAGUUAUCUGUCUUGGAGGAGAAGAUUAAAAACUUGCUAGAACAAGUGGAGUCUCUUGGUGAAGCUGGGAAAGUUGAUGAAGCUGAAGCUCUCAUGAGAAAGGUGGAAAUGCUAAAUGUUGAAAAGACUGCCUUGACUCAGCAAUCCCAGCUGAACAGUGCACUAAUGAUUGCACAAGAGAAAAAGAUGGCUUUGUGCGAGACAUGUGGUUCCUUUCUUGUCGCAAAUGAUGCUGCAGAGAGAACUCAGUCUCACGUCACUGGUAAGCAGCAUGUUGGUUAUGGAAUGGUUCGAGAUUUCUUAUCUGAGUACAAGGCUGCUAAAGAGAAGGCAAGGGAAGAGGAAAGGUUAGCCAGGGAGAAAGAAGCAGAAGAAAGGAAAAAGCUAAGGGAGAAAGAAUAUGAUAGCAGACGACGAAGAAGUGACUCAUCUGACAGGGACAAGCACAAAGAUCGAGAUCAUGACAGGGAACGGGAUCGCUACCGAGGAAGAGAUCGUGACCCUGACAGAUCCCUUGACAGAAAUGGCAGAGGAAACCGUGAUUUUGAUAGGGGAACAGAUUGGAAACAUGGGACUUCCAGAAAUGGGAGAAACAGAAGCAGGGAGAGAUACCGGGAACGCGAUAGGAGCAGGUCACGCUCUCCUAUUAGACAUGGUUCCAAGAGGUCCAGGAGUCCAGUUCACAAGUACUAGAGGAUUAUAAAACGUAGAUGUCUGAACUUUGAAAUUUGAAGAGCUCUUUUGAGACUAUAUCAUCUCUCUAUCAUCAAUAUAAUUAGAGUUAAAAAACAGAUUCAUUAGUUAUGCAUGGAUAAUGCUGCUAGAGGGAGAUCGUUGGAUUGGUUAUUCCUUAAGUGAGGUAACAACAAAUUUUAUUAAUUGCGGAUUGCGGAAUGACUUGCUGGCCACCGUUGGUUUAGUUCCUUUAUCUUUUGGUCAUUCAGAUGAUAAAACAGAAUCUUUUUCAUUUGGUUAUUCAGAUGGCUCAGGGCAAUUUAGUGUUAAUUGUUAUUGCAUAUUUGGCGUGUCAGUGAGCUCAUGAAUAUAUGAAAGGCUCCAUGUAGUUUGUCUAUCAUCCGAGCUCACAUAGGUAACCUCUAUUCUGACUUACUUACCAUCCCUAUACCCUCUUGUGUAUAGAGCUGUAUUCAUGCAGGCAGCAUUGUGGACAUAAGGCAGCUAAUGAUUCUAAUGUUCAAUGGACAACUGAUCAUUGAAUAGGUAAUAAUUGUAAACACUAAAUACGCAUAUUUGUCCUCUUGGGUUAGUACCUGCAGGCUUCAUGUAUAGGUAUCUACACUUUCUCAGACAUUUCCUCUUUAACGGAUACAUUAUAAGUAAUGACUAAGCUCUAGAAAUGUCUACGAUGAAAACUGUAUCUAGACUAGAUUGUCUAAGGCCCGUUUAUAACUGUGACCAGACAUUGAAGAAUAUUUUGCCAACUCUCUUUUGGGGAGCAAAAGUUUUAAAAAAAUUCUACUACCUAUGUAAGGAAGAACAGAUAAUAUCGAUAAUGACGUUUCAGCAACUCCUUGGGAGUCGGUCCUUCAACAAGAGUAACUGAGAUCAAGCAUGAAGUUGAGCAUCAUAUUUUUUUCUUUUUUCUUUUUUCUUUUUCAGAGCACAUGUAUUUGCAAAAUUUGUUGCUCUUCUGAGGAGUUUUGGGCUAGAAAGCAUUUUUUGGGAGGAUUUUUCUACAACUCAAAGUUAACUUAAAUCUUUCAGAGAAAUUCUCAAUGUUUAUUUUUGUUUAUUUU